rnacentral:rRNA from 1 species
GAUUAACGCUGGCGGCGUGCAUAACACAUGCAAGUCGAACGAUGAAACUUUAAUGACCCCUUCGGGGAGAAUUAAAGCGGAUUAGUGGCGAACGGGUGAGUAACGCGUGAGUAACCUGCCUUACACAAGGGGAUAGCCUUUGGAAACGAAGAAUAAUACCCUAUAAAACCAUAAAAGCACAUGCAAUUAUGGUCAAAGUGAUAGCGGUGUAAGAUGGACUUGCGUCUGAUUAGCUAGUUGGUGAGAUAAAAGCCCACCAAGGCAACGAUCAGUAGCCGGCUUGAGAGAGUGUACGGCCACAUUGGGACUGAGACACGGCCCAGACUCCUAUGGGAGGCAGCAGUGGGGAAUUUUGCACAAUGGGGGAAACCCUGAUGCAGCGACGCCGCGUGAUUUAGAAGGCCUUCGGGUUGUAAAAAUCUUUUGUAUAGGAAGAAAAUGACAGUACUAUACGAAUAAGGUCCGGCUAAUUACGUG